ensembl:snRNA U1 U1 spliceosomal RNA
GAACUUACCUGGCAGGGGAGAUACCAUGAUCAAGUAGGUGGUUUUCCCAGGGCGAGGCCCACCCAUUGCACUCUGGAUGUGCUGACCCUGCAAUUUCCCCAAAUGCUGGAAACUCGACUGCAUAAUUUGUGAUAGUGGGGGGGAGUGCAUUCAAGCUCUCCCCUG